rnacentral:lncRNA from 1 species
GCGGUCAACAGCUCCCCCUGCCCCCAUCAGGUCUUCUGGGAUUCCCCCCAGGCACAAGCAUUUCACCCAGACCGACCCCCAAAAGGGUGGCAGCUGCCAAGUCCCAAACCCGGAGCCCCCUGGCUCAGGCUGCCCAAGGUGGGGUCAUGCUGCCACCUGGUGGAGAGAGCGAGGAGCUGCGGGGCCCUCUCUGCUCCCAGCUCGGGCUCAGGGCGGGAGGAGGAGGUGGCAGGUGACGUCACUGGACCACGCGGUGUGACACUGACAGGACCAGGUGAGCGCCCACCAGAAUACCUAAGCCAGCGCUUAACUGGCUCCCCACUUUUCCUCUUUGCUUCUUCUCUACAGUCCCUGGAAGUCCCCAGAAUUUCCCUUAGGUUCCCCCCCACCCCAGCCCCCACAUCCUCCCUCUAUCUCAUCCUCUCCUACCUGAGCUUGCCUUUCCUACCCAAGAGACUGCACUGCCAUCUUGGCCCGACUCUGGGGCAAAGGACCGGGGAAGGCUUGGAGGGGGCACCAUGGAAGGGUGAUGGGGGAAGCAGCUCGGCCUGUGGCCUGGGGAGCGGAGCCUCUGUGAUCUAUGGUGAAGAGGAGGGGCCCAGGAAGAUGGGGGGUCUGGGACCUGUCCUAAGGUACCCGAGUGAAAGCGUGCUUGCUCUUUCCUCCUUCCUUCCUUCCUUCCUUCCUUCCUUCCUUCCUUUCUUUUCUUUCUUUCUUUCUUUCUUUCUUUCUUUCUUUCUUUCUUUCUUUCUUUCUUUCUUUCUUUCUUUCUUUCUUUCUUUCUUUCUUUCUUUCUUUCUUUCUUUCUUUCUUUCCUUUCUUUCUUUCUUUCUUUCUUUCUUUCUUUCUUUCUUUCUUUCUUUCUUUCUUUCUUUCUUUCUUUCUUUCUUUCUUUCUUUCUUUCUCUCUCUCUCUCUCUCUCUUUCUCCCUUACCUUCUGUCUUAGAAUCAAUACUAAAUGGGGCAGCUGGGUGGCUCAGUGAAUGGAAAGCCAACCCUGGAGAUGAGAGGUCCUGGGUUCAAAUUCAGCCUCAGACACUUUAUUAG